UGAUGGUAGUAGCGGUGUGACUAUCUAACUAUCAUACACGGUUUAGAGUGAUUUGAGAGUUGUGGAUAGGGUUUGGGUGCACUUGAAGGAAGACUGUGAUACAGGCGGACACAGAAUCAUCAGCUUAUCAGGAAUUCAGAACUGCUGAGUUGAAAGAAGGAUGGGUUUAGGAGAAGGUCUUGGAGAAGGUCAAGGACGUGCGGAUGGUGGGGCCCUGUGCCCAGGGCUACUGUGGGCUUUUCUGUGGUUUCUUAUCCUUUGGUUCCUAGCAUGGCCCAUUGCCUUCUUUAUAGCAUGGCUGUAUAUCCUUCUGUUGCCCUUCACUGUAUGUAUAGAGAAUCUUAAGGGUGUAUGUGAGGCACUGUUAGGCGUCAUCAAUUUCCCUCUCACAGUCACUGAGAACAUGGUGGCUAUGAAGCCUCUCUGUGGUUAGAUCUGUGAGGUCAUAGUAUCUGCCACCUCAAUGCAACUAAUUUGCAGUACUGUACCAACCUAAAGAGGAAUUUGUUACCUUGACAUCUCUAUUGGAAUAACACUGUAGGAACACUCAAAGUGAAGUUAUCACCAUGGCAACAUCUUGAUUGAAUGAAUGAACAACUAACUUGGAAUAUAUGUCAACAUAACAACAUCUGUGUUGUAAUAGGACUAAAGCAUAUCUGAGGUGGGCUUAUUACAGCACUGUGGCAACAUCCUGAUCAGAACUGAUUUAAUGAACAGCUACUUUUACAAAUGGUAUCAUUGAUUCUAGGCAACAUUAUGGAUAUCACCAUACCAACACCAACUGUGGAUUGGUCAUCAUGGCAACAGUGUUCAAUUGUGGAUAUUCUCCAUGACAACAGUGAGCUAAGGUGGAUUAAUCACCAUGACAACAACUUUGGUGAGGAAAAAAAGUUGAACAAGUUUGUUUGGAUCUACACUGUAAAAUGGUAGAGAAUUAUUAAGAAGGACAGAGGGGAAGUGUUCAUCGAUUAUAUGAAACAAAAAGGGACCAAAGCAUCAUCCUACAUUUUAUAUUCUUUAGAUAACUGAUUGAUAAUGUGUGAUCUCACCCAGAAAGACAGUGAAAAAGUUUCAGUAUAACACAUCAUUGUCAACUGAUCUUAUUGAAUAACAUUUAACAACGAUGAAAAUUAUUAAAAUCUGAGAUCUGUUGUAUUUACUGGAUGAUAUAAUCCAUUAGAACUGUGUGACUUUCAGAAAAGGUGCUAACAUUAUACCAAACACAAAAGUCCCCGUGUAAUAUCAUUGUGAUCACAAUCAAAUAUCACCUGUGUAAUAGCAUUGUGAUCACAAUCAAAUAUCACCUGUGUAAUAGCAUUGUGAUCACAAUCACCUGUGUAAUACCAUUGUGAUCACAAUCAAAUAUCACCUGUGCCUUAUGUUUGUAUUUUAGAUAUGUUUUUUACCUACAUUUUUAUCUUAAAAGGAUAGGGUAACAUAUAUAUUUAAUAUCUCUAUGUCAUAAUUUUAAAAUUCAUUUCAAUUGUCAAAUCAUGAUCAUUUUCAAAUGUGACAUAUUUGUAUUAAGCAAUCAGAAAAAUUGUCCCACAAAAGCUUAAUCUCAUAAAAGUUGACAGGCACAAAGAAAAUACACUUCAGGCUUGGUAAGAUGUGUUUAUGCACAAGCGGUAUUGAGUUUAAGUAUAAUUACACUAACUGCAGCUUCAUCAAACAAUCACACAUGCUUAUUGCAAAGGUGCAAAUUCAUCAUUGCACUAAUUUGUUCAAUAUUGGAAUUUACACUUGAAUUUAUUUUUGCUACAUGAUAAUAUCACAUCUUACUGAGCCUGAAGUGAUCUUUCUUUGUCCUGUCAAGUUUUUAUCUCUACAUGAAAAUCAUCUAACGUAAAAUAUUCACCCCAUGUAUACAUGUAUAACCAUGAAAUGACUGCUAAAUGACGCUGUCUAAUGACCAUUUUCAGCUGAGAGCCAUUGAUCAAUACUUUGACCUCCUCGUACUAUAUCUUUUUUAUUGCAAGACCAUGGAUCUGAUGUGUAUCAAUAUAUUUUGAAUUAAAAUAUAAGAUGUUUUAUCACA